UAUAAAGGAGUUAUUUAAGUAGUUUUGGUGCCCAUAGAAUGAAGUAGAUAGUUUUAGGAUUAUGAGGUAUCGAAAUAACAUAUUUUAUAAAGUGGUAUAUAUAAUAAUUACACCACCUAUAUAUGCGGAAGCAUACAAACUAUAAUUAUAAACUCGAAAUGAUUUAGAUUCAAUAAUACAAUGGAUUUAUUUGUGCAAGCACGACUUACGCUUUCAUCUUUUUUAUCUUGUAUUUUCUUGAAGUUCUAGGUUUACUACUCUCUUUUUCUAAUUCAUUUGUCUAUACCUUGAUGUUAUAAAACGUGGUUUAUGUCCGUACGUAGCCGCCAAUUAUAAAAUAAACACAUUUCUCAAAUUAAUUCGAGAGCUGCAUCAAUUUGGCUAGUGAUGAAGGUAUAUAUAUUAAAUUUUGCGGCGGGUGGUGGGUUUAUUCACUAGAAAAUAAAUACGACGGAGAGGAUGAAAAGGGGACACGUUGAGAAUGUGAAGAGCGUGGUGGGUGUUGAGGUGGAAUCAAUAUUGGUUAUCCUGAGAACUUGCCUGGGCCAAACAUGUGGAGAUGGAGAGCUUUUAAAGAAAUUUCUAAAACCAGGUGCACCACUGUUGAAUUUUGUUUUUAUUUUAUAAAUCUUUGCAUCCGAUGGAAAAAAAUCUUUGAGAUAACAAAAUUAUAGAAGCCAUCAGUCCA